rnacentral:rRNA from 1 species
UAUCGAUCCCCUCGGUUCCGAAGUCAACGCAUUAAGUACCCCGCCUGGUGGAGUAUGGUCGCAAGGCUGAAACUCAUAAGGAAUUGACGGGUCCCCGCACAAGCGGUGGAGCAUGUGGUUUAAUUCGACGCUACGCGAAGAACCUUACCUGGGCUUGACAUGCUUGGGACAGCGCUGGAUACAGCGUCUCUCCUUCGGGAGUCCUUGCACAGGUGCUGCAUGGCUGUCGUCAGCUCGUGUCGUGAGAUGUCGGGUUAAGUCCCUCAACGAGCGCAACCCUCGUUACUAGUUGCCAUCAGUUCGGCUGGGCACUCUAGUGAGACUGCCGGUGACAAAACCGGAGGAAGGUGAGGAUGAUGUCAAGUCAUCAUGGCCCUUACGCCCAGGGCUACACACGUGCUACAAUGGUCGGCACAAAGGGCAGCCAAACCGCGAGCUGGAGCUAAUCCCAUAAAGCCGGCCCCAGUACGGAUUGGAGUCUGCAACUCGACUCCAUGAAGGCGGAAUCGCUAGUAAUCGCGGAUCAGCAUGCCGCGGUGAUAUGUUCCCGGGGAUUGUACACACCGCCCGUCAUAUCACCCGAGCCGGGAUACCCGAAGUCCGUGCCCAACCAUUUGG